AAGGUUGUCAUUUUUAUUUUUCUGAAAUCCCGUCACAAGAAAAAAAACUAGUUUCAAGGCGUCGUGUUGAUUUAGAAGAUCCUACAAUCAAACGUAAACAAAUCUCUGCAAUGGACUCAGAUACGCUUCCGCUUAUAUUUCUCAUUAAUUCAAUAUGAGAAUGUAUGUUUAAUUUUAUAAAUCUAUGGAUUUGAAAGAAAAUUUAGAAAAUGGAAUUUGUAAACUUUUGGAACUAAAAGGAGUCAAGCUCUAAGGGAAAAAGACUCACCUUACUCAUAAUAGAAGAAAACUUCCUUCCACAGUCGCACCAAAAUUCCCUCCCGAUGCCAGUUUACACUCACCCUCUGUAUUCUUAGAUUUUAC
rnacentral:lncRNA from 1 species